rnacentral:rRNA from 1 species
GACGAACGCUGGCGGCGUGCUUAACACAUGCAAGUCGAACGGAAAGGCCCUGCUUGCAGGGUACUCGAGUGGCGAACGGGUGAGUAACACGUGGGUGAUCUGCCCUGCACUUCGGGAUAAGCCUGGGAAACUGGGUCUAAUACCGGAUAGGAGCCAUUUUUAGUGUGAUGGUUGGAAAGUUUUUUCGGUGUAGGAUGAGCUCGCGGCCUAUCAGCUUGUUGGUGGGGUAAUGGCCUACCAAGGCGGCGACGGGUAGCCGGCCUGAGAGGGUGGACGGCCAGAUGGGGGGUAGGGAACGGGCCAAGCACCCGGGGGGGGGCGGGAGGGGGGAAUAUGGCACAAGGGGCAAGAGCUGGAGGCGGCGCGCCGGGGGGGGGGAUGAGGGCUUGGGGUUUGAAACCUCUUUGCCCGGGGGCAAAUUUUUUUUGGGACGGAACUUAAAAAAAAGCCCCGGGCAAGCGACGUC